GGCUUAGAGUUUGAUCAUGGCUCAGGAUGAACGCUGGCGGCGUGCCUAACACGUGCAAGUCGAACGAAGCGGUUUUGUGGAAGUUUUCGGAUGGAAGCGAAAUUGACUGAGUGGCGGACGGGUGAGUAACGCGUGGAUAACCUGCCUCAUACAGGGGGAUAACAGUUAGAAAUGACUGCUAAUACCGCAUAAGCGCACGGGAACGCAUGUUCCUGUGUGAAAAGCCGAGACGGUAUGAGAUGGAUCCGCAUCUGAUUAGCUAGUUGGUGAGGUAACGGCCCACCAAGGCAACGAUCAGUAGCCGACCUGAGAGGGUGACCGGCCACAUUGGGACUGAGACACGGCCCAAACUCCUACGGGAGGCAGCAGUGGGGAAUAUUGCACAAUGGGGGAAACCCUGAUGCAGCGACGCCGCGUGAGUGAAGAAGUAUUUCGGUAUGUAAAGCUCUAUCAGCAGGGAAGAGAAUGACGGUACCUGACUAAGAAGCCCCGGCUAACUACGUGCCAGCAGCCGCGGUAAUACGUAGGGGGCAAGCGUUAUCCGGAUUUACUGGGUGUAAAGGGAGCGUAGACGGCAUAGCAAGUCUGAAGUGAAAUACCCGGGCUCAACCCGGGAGCUGCUUUGGAAACUGUUAGGCUGGAGUGCUGGAGAGGCAAGCG
rnacentral:rRNA from 1 species